CCGUGGGCACCCAUGGCCUGCUGCCCCCAACAGCCGCACCACGGGGCAAGACCCCGGGCCCUGGAGCCCCAGCAGGAAGCAGCCCUUGGAGGCUGUGGGACAGCAACCUGCCCCAAGAAUCCAGGCUACUGUCUUCAUGGAUGCUAUCAAGCUGGAGAGUAGGGGAUGGUGAGUGGGAAGAAUAUAGAAUUCACAGGUGAAGCCAUCUGGACCUGGAGUUCUUUGUUAGAAGACUUUUGACUCUGAAUUCAGAUUUUACAUGGAUACAGGUGAGCUUAGGUAGCUCAUGCCUUUCAAGGAAUGGGUCCACUUCAUCUAAGUGCUGACAUCUAUUUGCAUGGACUUGUUCCCAGUAUUCCCUUAUUAACAUUUUAAUGACUGUAGGAUCUUUAGCGAUGUUCUUCCGUUCCUGAUGUUGGCACUUUGUGUCUUCUCUCUUCUUU
rnacentral:lncRNA from 1 species